UACAGAGGACGCAAGCGUUGUUCGGAUUCAUUGGGCGUAAAGGGUGCGUAGGCGGCGUGGUAAGUCGGGUGUGAAAUCUCGGAGCUUAACUCCGAACCUGCAUUCGAUACUGCCGUGCUUGAGGACUGGAGAGGAGACUGGAAUUUACGGUGUAGCGGUGAAAUGCGUAGAUAUCGUAAGGAAGACCAGUGGCGAAGGCGGGUCUCUGGACAGUCCCUGACGCUGAGGCACGAAGGUCAGGGGAGCAAACGGG
rnacentral:rRNA from 1 species